rnacentral:rRNA from 1 species
AGGCGACGACGGGUAGCCGGCCUGAGAGGGCGACCGGCCACACUGGGACUGAGACACGGCCCAGACUCCUACGGGAGGCAGCAGUGGGGAAUAUUGCACAAUGGGCGCAAGCCUGAUGCAGCGACGCCGCGUGAGGGAUGACGGCCUUCGGGUUGUAAACCUCUUUCAGCAGGGAAGAAGCGAGAGUGACGGUACCUGCAGAAGAAGCGCCGGCUAACUACGUGCCAGCAGCCGCGGUAAUACGUAGGGCGCAAGCGUUGUCCGGAAUUAUUGGGCGUAAAGAGCUCGUAGGCGGCUUGUCGCGUCGGUUGUGAAAGCCCGGGGCUUAACCCCGGGUCUGCAGUCGAUACGGGCAGGCUAGAGUUCGGUAGGGGAGAUCGGAAUUCCUGGUGUAGCGGUGAAAUGCGCAGAUAUCAGGAGGAACACCGGUGGCGAAGGCGGAUCUCUGGGCCGAUACUGACGCUGAGGAGCGAAAGCGUGGGGAGCGAACAGGAUUAGAUACCCUGGUAUUCCAUGCCGUUAUACGGUGGGGCA